rnacentral:tRNA from 2 species
GGGGCAUUAGCUCAGUUGGUAGAGCGCUUCAAUGGCAUUGAAGAGGUCAUCGGUUCGAUUCCGUUAUGCUCCA